rnacentral:ncRNA from 1 species
GAACAGACUGUGUUAAAACGCAGCGGUUAGCCGAAAGGCAAACUGUAAAAGCGGGUGAAUUCAGGGGAGCCCUGAUAUCAGGGUAAUCGUGAGCCAAGCCCCGCUAUUUUUUUAGCGGGGAAGGUGCAGAGACUAAGCGCCCGCCGCCUAAAGUUUAAAAACCAUGGUGAUGAGAUAGUCCAAGCCUCGAGGUAACUUGAGG